AGUAUUUGGCCAAGCUAGUUUGGGUCCUUUUUCUUAGAUUACACAUAUAUCGAUUCAGUUUUCCUUUACACGCUUUACAAUGCAUGUGUGAGGGUGAGGGUAGGCUUUUGUGUUAGCCAGUCUGAUUCAGUAUUGCAUACUUUCUCCGCGCUGAAUGCAUGAAAACCCUGCAUGAAAACAGAUUUCAAUAGAUCAUCAAGGCACUUGUUUGUCAAAAACAGCCCACGUCUUUUAUCCAAUCAGCACACACCAAAUCCUGAUCACAUGGGCGACUUAUUGACCUUUCUGCUUACGUAGGAUGUAUUGUGUUACAUUAGCACAUCAAGUGUUCCAUUUUUCUGGCUAAAAUAGUGAUCAAAGUACGUUAUUCUCUAACGCCAACAGCAGCCACUCCCCUCGCCCUUGAAAAAUCCUAGUUCCGCCCCUGAGUCUUUCAUUAAGACACCUAACUGUUGCUUACUAGUAUUUGACAAAAUUAGUGUAGGCCCUUUGUCUUCCUUUUAUAUAUAUAUUUAUAUAUCCAUUCAGUUUUCUUUUCUACUGUUAAUGAUAAGUAUAGGCUUUUAUGUGAGACUCUGUGACUCAAACAUAGUUUUAACUUAUCGAGAAUAAGUGGACAUGGCAUUCGGAGCAUGACAAUAGGUUUCACUAGUCCAUCCGAGAACAUGAGAUUGUUGUUUGUCAAGAACAGCCAAUGUCUUUUAUCCAAUCUGCACACACCAAAUCAUCAGGUCAACGACCUAUUUAAAAGCUUCAUUUGACCCUUCUACUUGCGUAGAGUGUAUAUAUCGUUGUCAUGAAUUAGCACUAUUGUCCAACUGACUCAGCAAACGUAGUGCUUGGCUUCGACUGCGUUUAUUGGGAGACUAAGGGCGUAACAAAGCAAAACUUCGUCAUCGGACUGUUUUAAGCGGCACUGCUAACGGGAAAGAAUUUCGUUUAGAAGGAAAACGGGUGGGGCGUCCUUAUGAUGGCGAGCUCAGUACGGUGCUGAAAUCGAGUUCUGGACCGCUUCAUAUUCCAGUGCAUCUGCCGGAUGUCGUGGCCAUUUUUGGUUAUCCGACAUACAGCAACUAUCACGAGGACACUAAGGACCUCUUCAAGAUCUCGGAUGGCUACGAAUACGAAAGCGACAUCAAGUUUGAAAAUGGAGGCCACGUGAAGACGCUGCACAAGAUCACUCGCCAUUCCGAUCACUUGUCUGGGGACUUCAAGAUACUAGAGUGCAACGUGCAAUCUCCAGAGCUGGAAUCUAUCGAGCCCAUCGUGGAAACCUUCAUCCCAGCUGGCCCAGGAAAGAUCAACAGUCAAGCUGUGUUAGCCUGACGCAAAAAGGACGGAGGCUUCUUCACUGCCCGUUGUGAGAGCCAGUACCGGCUGAAUCACAAAGAAUGCCUGCCUCAUCUGCAGUUCCGCGUGGUGCACUUCACCACCAAUCAUACUUAGGAAGUACUAGAUCAGAAGGAGAGUCUGCAUGUGAUUCGUCAUUUGCCUGCCUUGUAAACUAGAAGAAGUAAGGAACUACCAUCAACUGAGAUUAUGCUGCUUUUAUGCUAAGCGUUUGGGUUAAAAACUGCAGGGUAUAGGCCAAAUAAAACUUGUUCGAAAUAAUAGUUUAAAUUCUUAAAGAGGUAACUUUUAUCGCAGUGAACGAAAGCGAGUCCAAUGCGACACUAACAUGUCUCUAACAUGGCGCUUGAUCGGUAAAUCAGUGACACAAUUAGGAUGUUUGUAUUAGUACUAGCUGUAAACUGAACUCUGCUGCCUGCGCUUGUUACUGAUCAUUUGUAGCGAAGAUCAUGUUUUGCAUUUCAUGUAUUGAUUAGUAUUAGUCUAUAGUAAUGGAAGAGGCUAAAUAAGAUACCUGUGACUGGUGAUGGACUCGUUCAUUGUGUAGGCUGAUCUUGAUCAUAAGUUAUCAAAAUAAGAAUCAUUGAUCAAAUUCAGUGUGCCGCGAGUCGAUCGGAUGAAAGGCGCACGAGUAAAACCAAAAAAACAGAGAUUUACGAUAUUUGACUCUUGAGGAAUUAAAGGAAGGUUUCAGUUCA